UUCUGCUUGGAGAUUGCCUUCUGUGGGGUGUUUGGUGAGCUAGAGCUCACAUCUUCAGAAAGGGGCCACCAAGUAAAUGCAGGAUUCUAGCCAACAUCCCCUUUGACUAAAUCAGCCUGUGUCUUUGGAUGUUGUCCAGCCUUUGCUGAAAGCAUAAUGACUGCUUUAUUUUUUCAUACAGUUGAUGUCCCAUCAGGAUUUAACCCAUACUUGCUUUGAUAAAUUUGAGGAGCAAGAUGGGGUGAAGGAUGCUAAUUCUGACAGAUCAGCUGAUGUACUCUGUUAUUCCUGGAGAAAAUUAGCCAGUUACCAGAAGUCUCAGUUACCCGUACAGGAGGAAAGUUUAGAUUCAUUUACAGUGAAUCCCUCAAACAGGAGUGAGUCCUAAUCAACCAUAAAAACUGGAGGCUGGAUUUCUUGCUGUGAAAAGGCUUUAAAGCAAGUAUUGAAAGGAGGUGCACUUUUUUCCUACAGCUGGUCAUAGACUGUUUCAUUUGGAAGGAUUUUACAAAGUAUUCUACUAUUAGUUGGUCACUUAGUACCUGAAGGAUAUCUUAGGCUUGAGUUGAUGGACCUCAGUCUUUCCCAUCUAAUAAACAGCGUUAAUAUCCCCAAAAUGUUUGCAGAUAUGAAAAGAUCUUGGUAGUGGAAAGACUGCUGGAGAGCAAGCAGAGCAAAUACUAACUUAAAAUGAGGUUUUCUUGAAUCAAGAUUUAACCUUACCAGGUAUAGAAGUGAAACUUAAAGUUUCAUUCUAAUUUUGCUUCUGGCAUCACAGUUUUGGAAUGCAACCUCAACAAAGAGAAUUGGAUAAAAUACCUCUUUGAGAUUUUUCAAGAAUUCCUAAAAUCCUUGUAUUUCUAAUUAUUAGUUCAUUCACAAUCUCAUUAAUCUGGUUACCAAGAGACUGUUUUUUGUUCUCUCAUCCCAAGAAACAAUUUCUUGCAAUUUUCUGCAUUUAUUUAUUUUUUAAAAUAUUACUAUUCCAACACGUUAAUCAGAAUCACGGAGUCAUCUAAGUUGGAAAACACCUGGAAGAUCAUCUAGUAGUUCCUUACAUCCUUUCUUAUAUGUCCAAACAAUCAAUUUCGGUAAAGGAUUUCUGCAAAAUGUUUAUGUAAGAAAUCUGUGAAGUGUUUACUGUCAGCUUCUGAAAUUGUAUUUCUGCCUUCAGGCUUCAGUUAGCAGUAGAAAUCAUUAAAGAAGUUUUACAGAAUAAAAAGCAAAAGCCUUUGUUAAUGCAAAUUUGAAAUAAGAUUCUGGUCAUUGAAAACCCGCAAGUUAAUGCAGAGAUUCAAACUCACUGAUGGCACUGAAUUAUGAUACUCGAUGUAAAACCUUAAUACUGAACUGCUGUACCCUGACUAUUUGUAUUAAACUAUU
ensembl:lncRNA